AAUACCGCAUACGCCCUACGGGGGAAAGGCUUCGGCCGCUAUUGGAUGAGCCCGCGUCGGAUUAGCUAGUUGGUGAGGUAAUGGGCUCACCCAAGGCGACGAUCCGUAGCUGGUCUGAGAGGACGAUCAGCCACACUGGGACUGAGACACGGCCCAGACUCCUACGGGAGGCAGCAGUGGGGAAUAUUGCACAAUGGGCGAAAGCCUGAUGCAGCAAUGCCGCGUGUGUGAAGAAGGCCUGCGGGUUGUAAAGCACUUUCGGUAGGGAAGAUAAUGACGGUACCUACAGAAGAAGCACCGGCUAACUCCGUG
rnacentral:rRNA from 1 species